rnacentral:lncRNA from 1 species
CAGUAAGUGAUUAUCAUUGGAAUAUUGGUGCAUGCUUUAAUUGUGGUCAGAAAGGCCAUAAAAUAACUAAUUGUUCAUAAAAAAUGAAGAACCAGUCCAUCUUGAUAGCUGAAUAAAACAAGGGUAGAACUUGGAACCUCUAAUCUGAGGAAGGGUUUAUACUCUUAUGCAAUAAGAUGCAUAGAUUUCUGAUGCAAUAGUACC